GACGUAGGGCGCGAGCGUUGUCCGGAUUUAUUGGGCGUAAAGAGCGCGUAGGCGGUCCGAUAAGUCGGCUGUGAAAGUCAGGGGCUCAACCCUUGAAAGCCGGCCGAUACUGUCGGACUAGAGUCCGGAAGAGGCAAGUGGAAUUCCCGGUGUAGCGGUGAAAUGCGCAGAUAUCGGGAGGAACACCAAUGGCGAAGGCAGCUUGCUGGGACGGUACUGACGCCGAGGCGCGAAAGCAUGGGGAGCGAACAGG
rnacentral:rRNA from 1 species